rnacentral:lncRNA from 1 species
GUGACUAGAGGGGUGUCUGUGGCUAUUCUAGUGAAGGAAAACCUCUUUGAGGAGAGACCUGGAGAAGAGCCAAAGAAGAAGCACUCCAGCUAGAGAACCCUGAGUAUGCUGUGCUGGGGAUACAGAGAGAAGACCUGUUGACUUGACUGUGGAGUGCCAUGUCGUACAUCCAAUAAAGUUAAACUCUGCAAGCAAGAGAGAGAAGAGGAGAGAAAGGAGAGAAUCUAAAGUGUGUGAUUCUGUUUACCAUUCCACAGAAGUUGGAUCACUAGAGGGCGAUAUCGGACAAGAGAAAGAAGAAUUCUUCACCACCGUUUCUAGGACUGGUGAAGAGAUGGCAGUAGCCCUCAAAGGGGGCUUGUAAGAAGAACCUCCCUGCCCAAUGAAGUCAACAAGCUUAUCUUCAUGGGAAGCCACCUUUCCUGGAGAAGAAAGAUCUUGCUUCUUGGAGAUGACUGUCUUUAAGCUCAUGGACUAAUAUACAGGUUGUUAAAUUGACUUUCAUCACAUUCUUAGAGGCUUCACUGAGUCCCCAGAACAGAGGUCAGUGAUUGUUAAGCACCCAUCCUUUCUGGAAAACAUAGAUGCUAGACAUAUCCUUGGGAAGUUUCUGAGAGAGAGAGCAAAAAUGGUCCCUCAUGUCCAUCAUUCACAUCCAUGCUGUGUAAGAGAAAGAAAACCAGACAUUUAAAGAUAGAAUUAAAUGAAGGGAUGUCUUGGGAGUGAGUAGUUCUCUCCAACCACCACUACUACUUCCAGUCAAAUAAAAGAGCUGCAAGAGUAAAUGGUGGAGGUAUUUGGGAUGCGUUCCUCUGCCUAGAAGAUGCUGAAAGCUGGAGGCUGGCUGGAAAUGACAGUGAUGGUGGGGCUAGGAGACAGGGUGGCAGGAGGAGCAACAGCACUUAUAUCAUUUGUGGGGCAAGAUAAAUGGGUUUUCCCGUGGGCUGAGUAGACAAAGAGGAGGGCAGUCAGGCUCAGCCUCUCUGAAAGGGCUCCACCCCAGAGGGCUGCCUGUCUGUUUUUUUUAAUCCAAAUGUCAGUUCAAAUGUUACAUCCUCAGAGAUGCCUCCCCUGACCACCAGGGCAAUAGAGUGUUCCCUGUAGUCACACUUUAUUACACCACCUGGUUUAUUUCCUUGAUACUACUUACAAUAUAAACUUAUGUUUUCCUUUGUUAGUUUAUUUAUUGUCUGGUACCUGUCCAAAGUUUCACAGGAAGAAUUAGAGGUGGAGAAGUGAGGAUUUGGGGAAGGAAUCUCAAAGAGGAUAUUCUUUACAAAGUAGAAUCGUCUUACUAAAUUUAAGUUCCAUGAGAGCAGGACUUUAUUCAUCUUAUUCACCACUAUUCCAGGUACUUGGAAUAGAACCUGGCACAUAGUAGCUACUCAACAAAAAUGUGUAAACUAAGUACAUCUCUGCAAGCAAGAGCCCUAAGAGAUAAAUAGACUGGUUCUGAGAAUGGCAUUUUUUCCAGUCCAUGGCCUGCUUGUAAAUGUCUGUGUUAAAGGGUGUAGAGGGAGAAGCAGGUAGGAACCAUAAACUGGAAUACAUUUUUUGUCCUCUCUGGUUUUCUAUUAUGCCUGUGCUUCACUGUCUGGAUAACCAGGAAGUAACACUUUAGGGAAGGUUUUUCCUUCUCCUUUCCUCCUAGUCUCUUCUUAUAAUCUGCAAAGUCUGCUGGCCCCUGGAAACUCACAUGGCCACUUAGUUGGUUUUGAUUGAUUGGAUUGGCAGUGAUGAGCUCUCCCCAGCUUUGAUAUGCCUCCAGGCUUCAGGGAAAGUUGAGCCCCUGGCCAGAUGUUUGGAGACAAUUUGGAAAGGUAGAAAUAUACAAAGGAUAUGCAUUUGCUAGUGUUAUUUGUGGCUUUUGUGCACAUCCUCCUGAGUCAUGUUAAAUUAAAAUCGUUUACUUUAAGCAAGUGUGUGUCUUCAGUAAUUGGGACCACCAAAAAACAAAUUCAUUGAAAAAACAUGGGUAAACCAGGGUGUUGUAAAAGCCAUUCAUUUCUCAUGCUUUUGGUUAGAAUCACAAAUUAAAUAUCCAUAAACCUAGUCAUACAGUGAAGUGAGAAAUUACAGCCUUUUCUUUCUGUAAGAAUUUUUUGAAAGAUUGAAAUAAAAAUCAAAAUACAUUUGAACAGCACUUUCCAGUUUACCAGCACUUCUACCUAUAUUAUAUCAUGUGGUUGAAAAAAGACAAAUCAUUUAGUAAACUUUAAACUGAUAAAGUCAUAAAGCUGAAGAAACUUCUGGCUGUUCAGUGAGUAAAUGAAUGUUUGAGUGG